AUUGAACGCUGGCGGCAGGCCUAACACAUGCAAGUCGAACGAGUGGCGGACGGGUGAGUAAUGUAUGGGAAACUGCCCGGUGGAGGGGGAUAACCACUGGACACGGAAGCCACUACCGCAUUCCAUCGGAUGGGCCCAGAUGGGAUUAGCUAGUAGGUGGGGUAAUGGCUCACCAGGGCGACGAUCCCUACCUGGUCUGAGAGGAUGACCAGCCACACUGGAACUGAGACACGGUCCAGACUCCUACGGGAGGCAGCAGUGGGGAAUAUUGGACAAUGGGCGAAAGCCUGAGGCAGCCAUGCCGCGUGUAUGAAGAAGGCCUUCGGGUUGUAAAGUACUUUCAGCGGGGAGGCGUUACUCGCAGAAGAAGCACCGGCUAACUCCGUGCCAGCAGCCGCGGUAAUUC
rnacentral:rRNA from 1 species